rnacentral:snRNA from 1 species
GUGCUCGCUUCAGUAGCACAUAUACUAAAAUUAGAAUGGUACAGAGAAGAUACGUAUGGCCUGUGCAAGGAUGGCACAGAAGUUUGUGAGGCGCUCCAUGUUUUU